rnacentral:misc_RNA from 1 species
UCCCGCUUGUACGGGCAGUCUGGCUAGAGUAUACAACUAACCACGAGGGUUGCGCUCGUUGCGGGACUUAACCCAACAUCUCACGACACGAGCUGACGACAGCCAUGCAGCACCUGUGCUAGCGCCCGAAGGAGGGUACGUUUCCGCACCUGUCGCUAGCAUGUCAAGCCCUGGUAAGGUUCUUCGCGUCGCAUCGAAUUAAACCACACGCUCCGCUGCUUGUGCGGGUCCCCGUCAAUUCCUUUGAGUUUUAACCUUGCGGCCGUACUCCCCAGGCGGUACACUUAAUGCGUUAGCUACGGCACGGAGGGGGUCAUACCCCCCACACCUAGUGUACAUCGUUUACUGCUAGGACUAC